AUGUACAGGUUUCCACAGGGUUUCCGUAACCUGGGGCCAAAUUUGCACCUUCCCUCGAGAAUGCCUAAAGCAGAAGAGCAUGCUUUUACGGUCGGCAAUAAAAAUGUUGGCUUGACUUUCAGCCCUUCGACUCGUGAACAUGUUAUUGUGGAAAUCUUCUAUCACCGGAAGGACUUCAAAUCUCGUCAGUAUGACAUGACAUGCGCGUUAUACUGGUGUAACUCUUGGAGUGCUGCCCAACAGAUCUCGGUACCUCCUCUGCCUGUGAAUGAUAUGCCACCGGCCUAUGUUGAAGGAAUGUUGUACUGGAUGAGUGAACCAAGGUUGGGACAGUGCUGUGAAUGGGCCAUUGUCUCUUUCAAUCUUGCUAAAAGAACGUUUGAUGUUGUCCCGUGUCCUUCGUGGUUUGCAAGAUGGAAUGGCAGAAACCCCUGUCGUGCAUUUGUUGUUGAGCUCGAGGGAGUAUUAUGCGCUGUCCUAGCAGAUCCAUUGGCAGACAAAUUAGAUGUAUGGAAGCUAGAGCAUGGCCAAUGGGGCAGAGCAUACACAAUUAACCUGGAAGCAUGUCCUGGCUAUUCCCUCAAGACAAGUGUUGUGAUGCCAUUAGCUGUUGAUCCUGGAAGGAUCCUGCUCAACACUGGGAGGAAAAUAGGUCUAUAUGAUCCAGUAGAGCAAACAAUUCUAAAUCUGCAUUCACUUGAUCAGUUGCAGGUUGCCAGUAGUCCACUUCUUGAUAUGCCUUCAACUUCUUCAGGGAAUAGUUUGACAUGCUCCAAAGAAGAGUCAGCCGCGGAGAUGAAGAGAAUGGACUCUGAAAUUAUUCCUUUUGUUCCUAUGUUAUACGAGGAGAGCUUGGCAGGUUACUCCUCUGUGCGCAAAGCAAAAAUGCUGUGGUGA
rnacentral:rRNA from 1 species